AGUGAACGCUGGCGGUAGGCCUAACACAUGCAAGUCGAACGGCAGCACAGUAAGAGCUUGCUCUUACGGGUGGCGAGUGGCGGACGGGUGAGGAAUACAUCGGAAUCUACUUUUUCGUGGGGGAUAACGUAGGGAAACUUACGCUAAUACCGCAUACGACCUACGGGUGAAAGCAGGGAUCUUCGGACCUUGCGCGAGUGAAUGAGCCGAUUUCGGAUUAGCUAGUUGGCGGGGUAAAGGCCCACCAAGGCGACGAUCCGUAGCUGGUCUGAGAGGAUGAGCAGCCACAUUGGAACUGAGACACGGUCCAGACUCCUACGGGAGGCAGCAGUGGGGAAUAUUGGACAAUGGGCGCAAGCCUGAUCCAGCCAUACCGCGUGGGUGAAGAAGGCCUUCGGGUUGUAAAGCCCUUUUGUUGGGAAAGAAAAUCAGCAGGUUAAUACCCCGCUGUUCUGACGGUACCCAAAGAAUAAGCACCGGCUAACUUCGUG
rnacentral:rRNA from 1 species